CAAAUAUCUAUAAAACACCUAAAUAUUCUCAAGAACACUCAUUGACUAAAAUUUGUUGAAAUUUACGGUUUGACCAAAUUUUAUUGCAAAAAUAUAUUUUCUGAGUUGAAAACUACGACUUUGUACAAUUACAGGUGGAAGAUGGUUUGUUGAUGAAGGAAAACAAAACAUGAACCAAAACCAAUCCAUAGAUCCACCGAUUCUCUUCAUAGAAAAACAUCGCCUUCUCAUUGUGAUUCCGAUUUCAUUGCUGCGGCUACCGGCAUUUUUGCUGCCAUGGGGAACAGAUGGGCCAUUGCCGAAAAAAACUGCACAAUUGGAUUUUGUAGUCGGGCAAACAGAGAAUUUCUUCGGGAAGGCGAAAUCUGGUCCUUUCUGUUGUUAGGCUUUUUCAAGUUGAGGUUGAUCCUAUGGUGUGUUUGAUGAAGGUUGAGAAGGCACCACCGAAAUCUUAUGCUAAUAUUGGAAUCUUUACUAUUAGUUUACUAAAAGUUUUUUUAUUGUUAGUUCUCUUUUAAAAUUGUAAAAAUUAUAGUUUACUAUAAAUUUACUAUCAAUAUUUUAAAACAUGUAUGAAGUUAGUUUCAAUUUGAUUUACUAUUUUAGUUUUUAUAAAUUUAGUAGUUGUUUAGUAAACUGUUA